rnacentral:rRNA from 1 species
UACGAAGGGGGCUAGCGUUGCUCGGAAUGACUGGGCGUAAAGGGCGCGUAGGCGGCUUGUUUAGUCGGAUGUGAAAUUCCUGGGCUUAACCUGGGGGCUGCAUACGAGACGUAUGGGCUUGAGUGCGGAAGAGGGUCGUGGAAUUCCCAGUGUAGAGGUGAAAUUCGUAGAUAUUGGGAAGAACACCGGUGGCGAAGGCGGCGACCUGGUCCGUGACUGACGCUGAGGCGCGAAAGCGUGGGGAGCAAACAGG